rnacentral:lncRNA from 1 species
AUCAUCAAGGCUUCAUAUAUCGAAUACAUCAGGUAUGUUGAUUUAUCAUUCAAUAUAUUUAUUUAUAUGAAUUUGUUUUUGGUGCGUUUUUGUUUUGAAAAUUGCGUGAAGUGAAAUAUCAGCCAUUUUUUGAAGAAUGAUCUCAAUUGUGAAAUGAUGUUCAUGAUAUUUGGGGCAUUUUAAUUGUGAUUGAAGUAUCUAUCAU